UGCGCAGACGGUAUAUUAAGUCAACUGUUAAAUUUCCCGGCCUAACUGGGAGCCAGCAGUAGAAACUGAUAUGCUUGAGGGUGGAAGAGGGAGUGGAAUUCUCGGAGUAGCGGUAAAAUGCGUAGAUCUCGAGAGGAACACCGAUGGCGAAGGCAGCUUCCUGGUCCAUUUCUGACGUUCAUGCACGAAAGCGUGGGAGCAAACA
rnacentral:rRNA from 1 species